UACAGAGGUCUCAAGCGUUGUUCGGAUUCAUUGGGCGUAAAGGGUGCGUAGGCGGCGCGGUAAGUCGGAUGUGAAAUCGUCGGGCUUAACUCCGAAACUGCAUUCGAUACUGCCGUGCUUGAGGACUGGAGAGGAGACUGGAAUUUACGGUGUAGCGGUGAAAUGCGUAGAUAUCGUAAGGAAGACCAGUGGCGAAGGCGGGUCUCUGGACAGUUCCUGACGCUGAGGCACGAAGGUCAGGGGAGCAAACGGG
rnacentral:rRNA from 1 species